GUGAGAGCCUUUGCUCUCACACUCCUCACACUUAAAAAUGCCCGACUUGUUCGGGUUUU
rnacentral:sRNA from 2 species